CAAUAGCGUAUAUUUAAGUUGUUGCAGUUAAAAAGCUCGUAGUCGGAUUUUGGCUGAGAACGAUCGGUCCGCCGUUAGGUGUGCACUGAUUGGUCUCAGCUCCCUGGUGAGGAGGUGUGCUUCACGGCCACUUAGUCACCGUGGUUACUUUGAAAAAAUUAGAGUGUUCAAAGCGGGCUUACGCUUGAAUAUAUUAGCAUGGAAUAACACCAUAGGACUCCUGUCCUAUUUCGUUGGUCUCGGGACGGGAGUAAUGAUUAAGAGGAACAGUUGGGGGCAUUCGUAUUUCAUUGUCAGAGGUGAAAUUCUUGGAUUUAUGAAAGACGAACUUCUGCGAAAGCAUUUGCCAAGGAUGUUUUCAUUGA
rnacentral:rRNA from 1 species